rnacentral:lncRNA from 1 species
GUCCGGCAGUGUUAAACUUCCUUCCUUUGUGUUUUUUACAUGCAGCACUACUCCUGACUCUGUUUUGGUCUGAGGUAGAGUUAACUGCAGUCGGAUUAUAUAGUCAGAUUUACAUGAAUAACUGUUGCUAAUUUUAAGAUUGGAGUUGAAUGGUUAAUGCCGCUUGUCACGUCUGGCUAAACUAGAGUGAUAUUUCCUGUAAAUGUCACGGUCCAUACUGAGUGUUUGGUAGGCUUCCUGAAUGGUUUCUGGGGGCCCCCUUCCCAUGCAUUCCUUUGACAGGUCCCUGGAAGCAUUGCUACCCGUUGUUAGCAUGCCUGCCUCCUCUGAUGGGAGGAGUUGGGUAGAUAGAUAUUCAUCUGUUAGGGCUGCAACCAUAGCUUUAAGUUUGUGCAAGUGAAAAUGUUUAAAAGUGAGUGGCCUAGAUGCCAAAAUCCUCCUCCACAUUGGAGCAAGGUGAGGUAAGGCUGUCAUUGGUAGAUGGCGUUUGCACCCAACUGUGCUUACCUAGCUGGUAGAAUCCCAGGGGCUAAGACAUUUUGGAGCUCAGGGCAGGCAAAGCCAAAAGGAAGAUGUUUUUGUGGUCAGUGAGAAGUUACUUACCUUUCUACCAAAAGCCACGUUUCUGGAAAAUAGCUCGAUGCUGUUCAUUUUUUAGGAAUGAUUUUCUUCCAUCAGGUCCUGUAGUUGUCUUCUUCUCAUGUUUGGUACCGCUAAGCUUUUCAAACUGUCUUUUCAACCCUGCUGAUGGUUUUUAGUCAGUGGCACCAGGGCUGAGACGGUAGCUGACCGCCUCUGGCAGGGUUCUCGAUAGCCAGUCAACAUCAGCAUCGUUCCUAGAUGAGGAAGACGAGGAAUCAAGAACUCUGUUCACCUGGACAACCAUCAGCAGAUUGAACAGCUUCUUCUUCUUCUUCUUCUUCUUCUUCUUCUUCUUCUUCUUCUUCUUCUUCUAACAUUCAGUCUAUUUAUGGAGGCACUGGUGAGUUUUGCUGGAGUUAGUGCAGUGUGAGGUGGGUCACAGGAAGUGUUAGGAGGUGGGUGGAGAGGUAAGAUGGUGGCUCAGAUUCCUAGAAUGCUUGACAAGACAGUUUCCAGGAAGAACCUUAUCUCACCGUUUCCCCCUUUUGUUUUGUGUGUAUUUAUUAGAGCAUUUGCAUACUGGUACCUUUUAUUAAAAGGGUUGAUUUGGUGUUUUACCAUUGAAUGGGUCUUGGUUUUCCUACAAAUACUAUGGGUCAUAGUCCUUGGCUUCCUUUUGGGAUGUCAGUUGACUUCUACACACGUUAAUAUACUGUGAAUGUGUUACGUUGCGACGUACUACGUCAGCGAAUGAACAUGCAAACUCGUGGUGUAAUGUGAACUCAAACUGCAGUUGAAAUCAUCAGUGGCCAUCGUGCAGCAGUGAAGAGGAUAGCACUUUAUCUAGGUGAAAACUGGACUCCUUAUUUCUGAAAUAUCUUGAAUUGUUUGUGACUCGGAACUUCAGCAUGCCAACGCUUCAUUUGUUCACGCUUCAAGGGACAUGUCUCAUUCUUCACUGGAGCAGACAAAACAGGGUUAUGUCAUGUUACUCUCUUAUGCAAGUGACAAAAAUGGACCUUGCCUUGGUUAGAGGCAAUGCAUAUUUAUAAAUAUUUUUUCUUUAUUUCCCCCUCCAUGAAGCAUAUUUAUUAAUCACUUACAUGGAUGGUGAACCUUCAUUCUUUAAGGAGAGGCACUUUUCCAAGUGUAAGGGAUUGAUGGCCUGAGAUAUUUGUAUACAUACAGCCAUAUACUUCACUGUGGGUUACAAAGGUUAAAAAAAUGGCUACUGGUCUCUAAUAUAUUUGGAACUCAUCAUAGAACAAAAACUAUUAAAACUAUCUUUGAAACAACUCUUGCAGCUAAUUUAUUAGACAAAAAAUGUUUCAAAUGGAAGCCCAAAUGCUAUUGUAAGGUUUGGCACAUUUUUCUUGUCUUUCUUUUUCUUCCUUUCUUUUGUUCCUGUGAGCAUGUAAAGUAUUCUCCAGCAACGUAACCAAAGUCAUUGCUUUUAAUGGAAAAAAGUAAGUAAAAAUUCAGUAUUUGUGAAGAGGUUUUGGAACCGAAGGAGAUGAGCGAUCGCUGAAACUAUUGUACUGACAUUCAUUUGGUUGUAUGGUGCUGGAGAAGAAGACCGGAGAAGACCAAACACGGCUCUCCAUCAACACUCCAUCAGUUUAUCCAGUAUGGAACUAUCUGGUAGUGACUUACCUCUUCCUCAAUAAAGAAAACACAAGGC